CAGUGUUCCCUGCCCUUAUGGGGUAGAAACGCCCACCCUUGUAUAUUAUAUCUUUGUUGCUUCGGCAGGCCGCCCUCGGGCACCGGCUCCGGCUGGAUCGUGCCUGCCAAAGGAAACCCAAACUCUGAAUAUUAGUGUCGUCUGAGUACUAUCUAAUAGUUA
rnacentral:misc_RNA from 1 species